UACAGAGGGGGCCAGCGUUAUUCGGAAUUAUUGGGCGUAAAGAGCUUGUAGGCGGUUUGUCGCGUCUGCCGUGAAAAUCCGGGGCUCAACCCCGGACUUGCGGUGGGUACGGGCAGACUAGAGUGUGGUAGGGGAGACUGGAAUUCCUGGUGUAGCGGUGAAAUGCGCAGAUAUCAGGAGGAACACCGAUGGCGAAGGCAGGUCUCUGGGCCACUACUGACGCUGAGAAGCGAAAGCGUGGGGAGCGAACAGG
rnacentral:rRNA from 1 species